GAAAGGAUUUAUUCGGUAAAAGAUGGGCCCGCAUCUGAUUAGCUAGUUGGUGAGAUAAUAGCCCACCAAGGCAACGAUCAGUAGCCGACCUGAGAGGGUGACCGGCCACAUUGGGACUGAGACACGGCCCAAACUCCUACGGGAGGCAGCAGUGGGGAAUAUUGCACAAUGGGCGAAAGCCUGAUGCAGCAACGCCGCGUGAAGGAAGACGGUUUUCGGAUUGUAAACUUCUAUCAAUAGGGAAGAAAGAAAUGACGGUACCUAAAUAAGAAGCCCCGGCUAACUACGUGCCAGCAGCCGCGGUAAUACGUAGGGGGCAAGCGUUAUCCGGAAUUACUGGGUGUAAAGGGAGAGUAGGCGGCAAGGUAAGCGAUAUGUGAAAGCCUUAAGCUUAACUUAAGGAUUGCAUAACGAACUAUCUAGCUAGAGUACAGGAGAGGAAAGCGGAAUUCCUAGUGUAGCGGUGAAAUGCGUAGAUAUUAGGAAGAACACCAGUGGCGAAGGCGGCUUUCUGGACUGAAACUGACGCUGAGGCUCGAAAGCGUGGGGAGCGAACAGGAUUAGAUACCCUGGUAGUCCACGCUGUAAACGAUGAGUGCUAGGUGUCGGGGAGGAAUUCCCGGUGCCGG
rnacentral:rRNA from 1 species